GGCGGAAGCUGUGGGGGCCACGGCUCGGCGCGCGGCCCGGCACCAUGAACUACCCGGGCCGCGGCUCCCCGCGGAGCCCCGAGCGUAACGGCCG
ensembl:miRNA